rnacentral:rRNA from 1 species
GACGAACGCUGGCGGCGUGCUUAACACAUGCAAGUCGAACGAAGAGCGAUGGAAGCUUGCUUCUAUCAAUCUUAGUGGCGCACGGGUGAGUAACGCGUAAUCAACCUGCCCUUCAGAGGGGGACAACAGUUGGAAACGACUGCUAAUACCGCAUACGAUCUAAUCUCGGCAUCGAGGAAAGAUGAAAGGUGGCCUCUAUUUAUAAGCUAUCACUGAAGGAGGGGAUUGCGUCUGAUUAGCUAGUUGGAGGGGUAACGGCCCACCAAGGCGAUGAUCAGUAGCCGGUCUGAGAGGAUGAACGGCCACAUUGGGACUGAGACACGGCCCAGACGCCUACGGGAGGCAGCAGUGGGGAAUCUUCCGCAAUGGACGAAAGUCUGACGGAGCAACGCCGCGUGAGUGAUGACGGCCUUCGGGUUGUAAAGCUCUGUUAAUCGGGACGAAAGGCCUUCUUGCGAACAGUUAGAAGGAUUGACGGUACCGGAAGAGAAAGCCACGGCUAACUACGUG